rnacentral:lncRNA from 1 species
GAAAUGUCACCCAUGCUGCUACCAAAGCAUUUACAGUGUCCUGUCUAGAGAACCUAAACACACCUAAAUCUUUCUCUCUGAUCCUUGUGGAGAACUGCAAGUAACAUGAUAACUUACUGCACUCUGCAAAUGCCAUACUUUGGAGGAAAGGUCUGUGGAGCAAAACCCAGUGAAGAUGCUGUCUUAUCAAAAGCUGAAAGCAAGGCAAGAGUGACCCAGAGUAUAAGGAAGUCUGAUUCUUAAGCAUGUGAAACAUAAGAAUCUUGAAAAUCAAGCAGAAUACUGGAAGCAUAUAAAUAAUACAAGAGCUUGAAAUGCAUUCCCUAUACAGUAGUUGGUAU